rnacentral:lncRNA from 1 species
ACACCAGUUGAUCUAAUUUCUUUUUCGGCCAUUCCAAGCUCUAUGUCAGUUUUCGCAACAUUUGGAAGUUUUUGUUCUAACUGCAGUAGCGCUGCAAUUGUAGUGCUGCCACCAGGAAGCAUUAGUUAUUGGUCUACUGUGGAGGCGACGGCUCAACUGUUUGGAACGAGAAAUUUUAUAAACUUUACAUUGCAAGAUAUU